UUACGGGAGGCAGCAGUGGGGAAUUUUGGACAAUGGGGGAAACCCUGAUCCAGCAAUGCCGCGUGAGUGAAGAAGGCCUUCGGGUUGUAAAGCUCUUUUGUCAGGGAAGAAACACCGGCUCUAACACAGUCCGGGAAUGACGGUACCUGAAGAAUAAGCACCGGCUAACUACGUGCCAGCAGCCGCGGUAAUACGUAGGGUGCGAGCGUUAAUCGGAAUUACUGGGCGUAAAGCGUGCGCAGGCGGUUAUACAAGACAGGCGUGAAAUCCCCGGGCUUAACCUGGGAAUGGCGCCUGUGACUGUAUAGCUAGAGUGUGUCAGAGGGGGGUAGAAUUCCACGUGUAGCAGUGAAAUGCGUAGAUAUGUGGAGGAAUACCAAUGGCGAAGGCAGCCCCCUGGGAUAACACUGACGCUCAUGCACGAAAGCGUGGGGAGCAAACAGGAUUAGAUACCCCGGUAGU
rnacentral:rRNA from 1 species